rnacentral:rRNA from 1 species
AGGUGGUGCAUGGUUGUCGUCAGCUCGUGUCGUGAGAUGUUGGGUUAAGUCCCGCAACGAGCGCAACCCUCGACCUUAGUUGCCAGCAUUCAGUUGGGCACUCUAAGGUGACUGCCGGCUAAAAGUCGGAGGAAGUGGGGAUGACGUCAAAUCAUCAUGCCCCUUAUGACCUGGGCUACACACGUGCUACAAUGGGCGGUACAAAGGGUCGCGAACCCGCGAGGGGGAGCCAAUCCCAAAAAGCCGCUCUCAGUUCGGAUUGCAGGCUGCAACUCGCCUGCAUGAAGCCGGAAUCGCUAGUAAUCGCGGAUCAGCAUGCCGCGGUGAAUACGUUCCCGGGCCUU